rnacentral:misc_RNA from 1 species
GAGGCAAUGAGUUUGAUUAAAGCAUGUCAACAAACACUAAGAGUUCAGUCAUGACCAUGCUUUUAUGCAGAGCAACUCCAAUAGUAAAUUUAUCUUAGUAGUGAAGAGGCAGUUCAUGCAGACAUUGGAACAUUUAAUCAUGAAAAUAUCAGUAAAUCAACAGAAUAAGAUAAGGAUUAAGGAAGAAUUACACAAAUUAAAUUGUCAGGAUUUGUGAAUUCAUUUAACAUCUUUCGAACAAUCACACAAUUGCUAUUACUAAUUCAACAACCAAAGCAAGAUAUUGAGGAUCAUCAUGCAGCGUAGAGUGAAGCAAGCUAAACAGGUUCAAUGACAACAACUGUCAUUAACAAUUGACUAUAUACCCGUCAACCAAUCCAUGUUCAUAUUCUAUAAAACACAUAUUACUUUUUGCUUUAUCCAAUCAUCUCUUCAUUUUUCACAAAACCUUUACCAGAUUCAAUUUCUUCCCCCCUCAAAAGAAAACAACAUUAAAUAUUCGCAAUUGUAGCUGAAAGCAAAUAGAGGUUAUCUCCACCAACAUCUAAGAAACAAGAAAACACAAAUAGCAAGCAUUACAAGUAAAGAAAGAGCCUAUUUGCGGUUGCGGGCACUAUAAAAACCUGCUCAGUUCUGAGAGCUUCAACAGCCUCUUCAGAGUAAACUUCAGUCGCAAGCCGCCAGGCCGAACCACCUCCAACUUGUUCCCAACUUCUGCCUCACAUUUUUCCUGAAUCCAAGCCAUUUUCCUUGGAAACCCAACUUCAAAUCUCUUCUUCGAGCUCAAAAGUGGCGCAAACCCAAUCUUCGCCUAAAAUUAUCAAAGUAAAAAACCAGUACAAGAGUAUUAAUUCCUAAACAAAUAUAAACUAAAAUUGAAAUAGAAACAGAAGAAAGCGAGUCAGAGGAAACAGACCAAAAGCGAUGGAAUGAUUUUGAUAGCUAAAGAAUAAAAUGCAGUUAAAAGACUCUGAUUAAAGAGCACCUCAGAAAGAGAGAAAAGAGAAUCAAUAAGUGGCAAUUUUUGGGUAAUUGCUGCGGGGCAACUGUUGCUAUACUGCUGCCACUGCUUCCCCUUGCAAGUUACGAGUGCAAAGGUUCGCUGGAGCAGUGGUGAUCUCUAUGUUGUCUGUGUU